rnacentral:siRNA from 1 species
AUAACAUGUUUUGCAGAUGGAUUC